rnacentral:rRNA from 1 species
GGUAAACGCUAGCGGCAGGCUUAACACAUGCAAGUCGAGGGGCAGCAUAGAUUGUAGCAAUACAAUUGGUGGCGACCGGCGCACGGGUGCGUAACGCGUAUGCAACCUACCCGUCACAGGGGGGAUAAUCCGGAGAAAUCUGGUCUAAUACCCCAUAACAUAUGGAUCGGCAUCGGUUCAUGUUGAAAUUUUCGGAGGUGACGGAUGGGCAUGCGUAGCAUUAGCUUGUUGGUGAGGUAACGGCUCACCAAGGCGACGAUGCUUAGGGGGACUGAGAGGUUUUCCCCCCACACUGGUACUGAGACACGGACCAGACUCCUACGGGAGGCAGCAGUGAGGAAUAUUGGUCAAUGGGCGCAAGCCUGAACCAGCCAUGCCGCGUGCAGGAUGACGGCUCUAUGAGUUGUAAACUGCUUUUGUACGAGGGUAAAGUGGGUUACGUGUAACCUUUUGAAAGUAUCGUACGAAUAAGGAUCGGCUAACUCCGUGCCAGCCGCCGCAGUAA